AAGGCUGAGGUGUGAUGACGAGGCACUACGGUGCUGAAGUAACAAAUGCCCUGCUUCCAGGAAAAGCCUCUAAGCAUCAGGUAACAUCAAAUCGUACCCCAAACCGACACAGGUGGUCAGGUAGAGAAUACCAAGGCGCUUGAGAGAACUCGGGUGAAGGAACUAGGCAAAAUGGUGCCGUAACUUCGGGAGAAGGCACGCUGGUGUGUAGGUGAAGUCCCUGCGGAUGGAGCUGAGACCAGUCGAAGAUACCAGCUGGCUGCAACUGUUUAUUAAAAACACAGCACUGUGCAAACACGAAA
rnacentral:rRNA from 1 species